UCGAUAGAGGCGCAAGUGCGAUCAGUACCGGUUUCCCGCUUUGCAACAGGCGAUGGGACACCGCGAAAGGCGCAGUUGCCGAAGGAAGCGCCGGUUGCACGGCCGUUUCCUGGGCGGUACGGAAAACAUCCUGCCGACUGUCGCAUCACCCUGCGGAGAGCUAUCA
rnacentral:ncRNA from 1 species